rnacentral:rRNA from 1 species
GACGAACGCUGGCGGCGUGCUUAACACAUGCAAGUCGAACGAAGUGGCGAACGGGUGAGUAACGCGUAAUCAACCUGCCCUUCAGAGGGGGACAACAGUGGGAAACGACUGCUAAUACCGCAUACUGAAGGAGGGGAUUGCGUCUGAUACGCUAGUGGGGGGGGUAACGGCCCACCAAGGCGAUGAUCAGUAGCCGGGCUGAGGAGAUGGACGACCACAUUGGGACUGAGACACGGCCCAGACUCCUACGGGAGGCAGCAGUGGGGAAACUUCCGCAAUGGGCGAAAGUCUGACGGAGCAACGCCGCGUGAGUGGUGGCGGCCUUCGGGUUGUAAAGCUCUGUUAAUCGGGACGCGGUACCGGAAUAGAAAGCCACGGCUAACUACGUGCCAGCAGCCGCGGUAAUUC